UAAAAAGGAUCACUGAAACAACUAUUCUUGAAACACUUGAGAUUUAGCUGUCACUUUACUUCUCGUCAGUAUUUAAAUUCUUCAACAGUCAACAGAGUUAAGCUAGUGCUCCAGAGAUAAAUGGAAAUAGAGAUGAAAGCAAGGAUUGAAGAUUCCGUUCAUUGGGCGAUGUUUCCGUAAUAGCGAUAUCACUUAUGACUGUUUCUGAUAAUUAUCGCAUAUUCACAAUUCAAGUUUUAAUUUUUCUAAUUUCAUGUACCAUAUUGAUGUUGUAAAUAAAUAGUUAGAAUGAAAACAUGGUGAGUUUCUACUGACCAGGAACCAUUUCCAAAUUGUAAAUAUCAUAACCAACCAUUUCUGAUCAUUUUCAUACUUAGAAGGACACCAUUAUUCAUUGAGUUUAUAUGAAACUUUUUUCCUUGAAUACAAAGAAUUCCCAUUGCAUUACAAACAUGAAUUUUUUGCCAAACAACAGGAGAGCUGCAUAUCAUUAUAUCAAGAAUAAAAAAUGGGAAAUAAGCCUUACAACACACACACACACACUGACUCACCAAAAUCUAUACUAUACUUAAAGCACCAGUUUCAACGGUUGUCGUGCGUCAUUUUUUUACAAAAAUCACCCUCAGUUUUUCUCAGGUUAACCCGCAGUCCCUCAUCCCACGCCUCCCUCCUUAUCUCAACCGCACGCAAAACCCUAGCCUCUCUCACGCCAUACCUCCUCUCUCGCUGAUCCCCGCGCACAGCCACCACGCCAUCAACCCAGGCUCCCUCGCCCCACACCUGCCGCAUUGAGCCAGCCCCGCGGGCCAGUAGCGCGUUGAGCUCCAAUAGGUAUGGAGAUCCUCUUCUCUCCCCCUCUUCCUCCGAUGCGCCGGUGACGUGUUGAGCUCCAAUAUGUAUGAAGUUCCUCUUCUCUCCCCCUCUUCCUUUGCAAGUUUGAUUAGAAGUGAGUAGAUUCUUCUCCCGCAGCCGUCGCCGCCGUCCCACGCAUCCCACAACUGCCACCAACUGCCACACAUCGCCUAGACCCACACGCCUCCCUUGCAAUCUCCCACAGCCUCUGCUCCAUCUCCACCUUCGCGCCCACCUGCUAGCCCUAGCGUCGCCUACUCCCUGCCUUCGCUCCUCCUCGAUCUAGGCGGCGCGGACGUGGCGCGGACGUGGGGAAGGACGACCCCGUGGACGUGUUGUGGCGGUGGAGGAGCCAUAGCCAACCCGGGAUCAUGCGCAGACCUGAGCGUUCAACGACGGUGGGGACACGCCGCUGCAGGUGGCGCCUGCCAUCUACGACGAGGCCAUGUUUCUUUAAUAGCUCUAUUGUCAUGGGCUACUACAAGAACCACGUCAAGACAAGCCUAAGGAUGUGACGAGGUGUUGUUGUUAUGGAUUCACAACUUUCUUUAUGACUCGAAGAUCUUUGGGAAUCAUUCAAGGAAUGGAGUGCUUAUGGGCCCGGUGUUCCACUGGUGCUGAAUGGCAGUGACUCUGUGAUCCAACUAUUUGCAAACACAUCGAGACCCACUUCAAGAAAUAAGUGCGUCCUAUUCUUUGUCACAAAUAAUCAUGGUGUCAAGAAAGUUUCCAUUGCACUUAACCUUAAGAAGGCCAACCUUUGUACCAAAAUGGGUUCCAUUUGUUUGUUUUUGUUAUGCUUCGGUUAGUUUGACCUUUGAUAUUUUCAUAUAUCAACAAAUAACUAAGUUUAAUAC